GGUGAGUUCAAGGCAGGCUGCAAGCAUCACCAUUUGUGGAUUUGUCGGGGUUUCUUUUCCCUCCUGGUUCAACAGGAUAUGGAUGACACUUCAUCAUCUCUCAUGGCAUCAGCUUCCAGGAUCCGUAACUGAAGCCAAGAAUAGGAAACUUCUUUCUGCUUGGGAGCUGCCCAGGUACUAAAAAGAGAAGAGUUGACAGGGGGCCAGGCCAGCUGUUAUGAAUAAUUAUGGAAUAAUUCAUUCCCGAAGUUCAAAAGUCUUGGAUUAAAUUUCAAAGAAUCAGCAGUCCAAUGCACUGUUUAAAUCAGUGAAGCUCCCUGGAAGAGAGACUAAGAUCCUUGCUAACGAACCCUUCGACCUACCAAGGAGCAUCACUGACGAGAGCCCAUUGGGAAGCCCAUCUCCUCCUCCUGUGUUGAAAGAAUUGAGCCUGUGGUUGGCAAUUUUGUCUGUGUGAAAUGAACCAACAACAUUAAAAAAAUUACAUCUCUCUAAGAAUUACGGAGCUACGAAGUUUGCCAAACGGAUGUCCUCAGAGCUCAAACGCUCUGGAAACCAACACAAUUUCCAUGACAAAGGAGGAUUCUGGUGUUAUACUCUCAUUUAUCUGUCAUGUGUACACUUGGCAGCAUUUGAUCUUUAUUCUCUAGACGCUUAAGAAAUAAUCUAGGAAUUACUGCUUCUUGACAAUACAAACAAAUAAAGCUAUCUAUAAAUAAACCGCAGGAGGACGGGGAGAGGUUCACUUCGCACCCACAGAGGGACUGCCUUGGGGCUAGCUCUCGUUUAUUUUUUGGCCAUUGCUGGGGAUCAGGAGGUCACCCUCCUUUCUGAGCCCUUUUGUGUGAGCCUGCCUGCAGGGAAGAGGGGCCCUUAUACAAAUCACCUCUGAAGAAAUUGGCUGACUUUUUUUUACCCCUUCUUCUUGCCAGUCUCCCUGACGAGCAGCUGGGUUUUGCUGGGACUGUGGAAGGCAGGAGCUGACACCCCAUCAUGCAGGAGAGCCCCUG